rnacentral:rRNA from 1 species
AGAGUUUGAUUAUGGCUCAGGAUGAACGCUGGCGGCGUGCCUAAUACAUGCAAGUCGAGCGAACCACUUCGGUGGUGAGCGGCGAACGGGUGAGUAACACGUAGGUGAUCUGCCCAUCAGACGGGGACAACGAUUGGAAACGAUCGCUAAUACCGGAUAGGACGAAAGUUUAAAGGUGCUUCUGGCACCGCUGAUGGAUGAGCCUGCGGCGCAUUAGCUAGUUGGUAGGGUAAAGGCCUACCAAGGCGACGAUGCGUAGCCGACCUGAGAGGGUGAACGGCCACACUGGGACUGAGACACGGCCCAG